rnacentral:rRNA from 1 species
UAGGGAAUCUUCCACAGUGGGCGAAAGCCUGAUGGAGCAACGCCGCGUGUGUGAUGAAGGGUUCCGGCUCGUAAACACUGUUGUAAGAGAAGAAUGACAUUGAGAGUAACUGUUCAAUGUGUGACGGUAUCUUACCAGAAAGGAACGGCUAAAUACGUGCCAG